GACGAACGCUGGCGGCGUGCUUAACACAUGCAAGUCGAACGGUGAACCUCUUCGGGGGGGAUCAGUGGCGAACGGGUGAGUAACACGUGGGCAAGUUGCCCCCGGCCCUGGGAUAACUCCAAGAAAUUGGGGCUAAUACCGGAUGUCCACCGCUUCUCGCAUGGGUGGUGGUGGAAAGGGUUUCCGGCUGGUGAUGGGCGCGCGGCUUAUCAGCUUGUUGGCGUGGUAGAGGCCUACCAAGGCGAAGACGGGUAGCCGACCUGGGAGGGUCGCCGGCAACCCGACGCCUGAGAGACGGAGCAGACUCGAACCGGCGGCAACGGGCGAGAGUCUUGCGCAGUAGGCGGGAGCCUGACACGACGACGCCCGGUGCGGGAUGACGGGCUUCGAGUUGUAAACCACUUUCUGCGGAAACGAGGCGCUAGUGACGGUACCUGCAGAAGAAGCCCCGGCCAACUACGUG
rnacentral:rRNA from 1 species